ACGCUCGACACCUACUGGAGGCAGCAGUGGGGAAUAUUGCACAAUGGGGGAAACCCUGAUGCAGCGACGCCGCGUGAGCGAAGAAGUAUUUCGGUAUGUAAAGCUCUAUCAGCAGGGAAGAAACUGACGGUACCUGACUAAGAAGCACCGGCUAAAUACGUGCCAGUAGUCGCGGUAAUCUGAGCGGGCUGGCAAGGC
rnacentral:rRNA from 1 species